rnacentral:rRNA from 1 species
UUUCUGUAGGUGAACCUGCGGAAGGAUCAUUACUGAAGGACAAAGGAUUUGAGACUGCGUUCCAUAGUGGCGUGUGCUCGAUCCUUACUCUUUUAUCCACACACACCUUUGUGCACCAUUGGAGGAUGAGUUUUCAUCCUCUUUUUUUACACACAAACACAGUUUUUAUGCAUGUAUGAUAGUGAUACUCUAUGGAGUAAAUCUAUAACUUUCAACAACGGAUCUCUUGGCUUUCGCAUCGAUGAAAAACGCAGCGAAUGUGCGAAACGUAAUGUGAAUUGCAGAAUUCAGUGAAUCAUCGAAUCUUUGAACGCAUCUUGCGCUCCUUGGUAUUCCGAGGAGCAUGCCUGUUUGAGUGUCGUGAAAUACUCAAUUUCAAACUUUUGUUUUUGAAGGUUUGAAAUUGGAUUUGGGUGUUGUUGUGGAAAUGACUCACCCUAAAUGCAUUAGUGAUCUGCCAUUGAUCAUGGGCAAUGUGAUAAGAAAAAAGCAUUGUUAAAGAUCAGGGGUAAUGAUUGCUUCUAACUGUCGAAAGACAAUGCAUAUAUGUAUGUUAUAUGCGGUUUGACCUCAAAUCAGGUAGGACUACCCGCUGAACUUAAGCA